rnacentral:rRNA from 1 species
CUGAGAGGAGGUGGCGAUGGCCGUCGUCAGUUCGUACUGUGAAGCAUCCUGUUAAGUCAGGCAACGAGCGAGACCCACGCCAACAGUUGCCAGCUCGUCCUCCGGGAUGGUGGGGACGACUGUUGGGACCGCCUCUGCUAAAGAGGAGGAAGGAAUGGGCAACGGUAGGUCAGCAUGCCCCGAAUUAUCCGGGCUACACGCGGGCUACAAUGGUCAGGACAAUGGGUAUCGACACCGAGAGGUGGAGGCAAUCUCCUAAACCUGUCCUUAGUUCGGAUUGUGGGCUGCAACUCGCCCACAUGAAGCUGGAAUCCGUAGUAAUCGCGUUUCAAAAUAGCGCGGUGAAUAUGUCCCUGCUCCUU